ensembl:snoRNA
UUUCCCAUUUACUUGCUGCCCUAGUCUCCCAGCGACAGGAGCAGUUAUACACAUGGGAUAAAACAAUAUUGGGCCAUUGCAAAUUGAGAUGAAGUAAGUGUUUUGUUUCUUUUGCAAGGUCUAAACAUUG